AUAGAACAUUAUGCCUGGAAUGGUUUAUGUUUCAAAUGAUUUAUCGCCAUAGGAUGGGACUGCGGCCUAUCAGUUUGUUGGUGAGGUAAUGGCCCACCAAGACUAUUACAGGUACGGGCUCUGAGAGGAGUAGCCCGGAGAUGGGUACUGAGACACGGACCCAGGCCCUAUGGGGCGCAGCAGGCGAGAAAACUUUGCAAUGUGCGAAAGCACGACAAGGUUAAUCCGAGUGGUUUCUGUUAAAGAAACCUUUUGUCAGUCCUAGAAACACUAACGAAUAAGGGGUGGGCAAGUUCUGGUGUCAGCCGCCGCGGUAAAACCAGCACCUCAAGUGGUCAGGAUGAUUAUUGGGCCUAAAGCAUCCGUAGCUCGUUUUGUAAGUUUUCGGUUAAAUCCAUGCGCUUAACGUAUGGGCUGCCGGGAAUACUGCAUAACUAGGAAGUGGGAGAGGUAGACGGUACUCGGGAGGAAGGGGUAAAAUCCUUUGAUCUCUUGAUGACCACCUGUGGCGAAGGCGGUCUACCAGAACACGUUCGACGGUGAGGGAUGAAAGCUGGGGGAGCAAACCGGAUUAGAUACCCGGGUAGUCCCAGCUGUAAACUAUGCAAACUCAGUGAUGCAUUGGCUUAUGGCCAAUGCAGUUCUGCAGGGAAGCCGUUAAGUUUGCCGCCUGGGAAGUACGUACGCAAGUAUGAAACUUAAAGGAAUUGGCGGGGGAGCACCACAAGGGGUGAAGCCUGCGGUUC
rnacentral:rRNA from 1 species